CUCAAAAGAUUGAUCGCAUUAUGGAAAAGUUUGCAGAAAGAUAUUGUGCAGAUAAUCCAGGUCUCUUCAAAAAUGCAGAUACUGCAUAUGUUCUUGCAUAUGCAGUNCAUAAUGUUGAAUACUGAUGCGCAUAAUUCUAUGGUGUGGCCUAAAAUGGCCAAGUUAGAUUUUAUACGUAUCAAUUCCAUGAAUGAUGCUGAAGAUUGUGCCCCAACAGAUCUACUGGAAGAGAUCUAUGACUCCAUUGUUAAAGAAGAGAUAAAAAUGAAAGAUGAUGCAGCUGAUAUUGGGACAAGUAGACAGAAGCCAGAAAGUGAGGAGAGGGGCCGCCUUGUCAAUAUUCUUAAUCUGGCUCUCCCCAAAAGAAAGUCAUCAAUUGAUGCCAAGUCUGAGAGUGAAGCUAUAAUUAAGCAAACACAAGCAAUAUUCCGGAAGCAAGGAACAAGAAGAGGAAUUUUUCAUAUGGUGCAACAGAUUGCCUAUGGUUGAAGCUGUAGGAUGGCCUCUGCUUGCCACUUUCUCUGUAACCAUGGAGGAAGGUGAUAAUAAGCCAAGGGUUAUUCUCUGCAUGGAGGGAUUUAAAGCUGGAAUACACAUUGCACAUGUUCUAGGAAUGGAUACCAUGCGCUAUGCUUUCUUAACAUCUUUGGUCCGAUUUACUUUCUUGCAUGCCCC
rnacentral:misc_RNA from 1 species